rnacentral:ncRNA from 2 species
UGGAACUUGUCGGAGUGCUUAGUACUUACACAUAAAGUACGAGCUGAGACCGCAAUGCGGGAUCCGUGGAACCUGAUUAGGUUAAUACCUACGAAGGGAACAAGAGAAAACCUAAC